UUGCCAGCCCGCUACAGAAACUUAAAGGAAUUGACGGGGCCCGCACAAGCGGAGGAGCAUGUGGUUUAAUUCGAUGAUACGCGAGGAACCUUACCUGGGCUCGAACGUAAGAUGACUGUAGGUGAAAGCUUACAUCUCUUCGGAGCAUUUUACGAGGUGCUGCAUGGUUGUCGUCAGCUCGUGCCGUGAGGUGUCGGGUUAAGUCCCAUAACGAGCGCAACCCUACCUUUAGUUGCCAUCAGGUAAUGCUGGGGACUCUAAAGGAACUGCCUACGCAAGUAGUGAGGAAGCGGGGAUGACGUCAAAUCAGCACGGCCCUUACGUCCAGGGCUACACACGUGCUACAAUGGCCGAUACAGAGGGCAGCUACCUGGUGACAGGAUGCAAAUCUCCAAAGUCGGUCUCAGUUCGGAUCGGAGUCUGCAACCCGACUCCGUGAAGUUGGAUUCGCUAGUAAUCGCGCAUCAGCCAUGGCGCGGUGAAUACGUUCCCGGGCCUU
rnacentral:rRNA from 1 species